AUGCAGUCGAGCGCGGGAGCGAGCGGAUCCCUUCGGGGUGAAGCUCGUGGAACGAGCGGCGGACGGGUGAGUAACACGUGGGCAACCUGCCUGUAAGAUCGGAAUAACCCCGGGAAACCGGGGCUAAUGCCGGGUAAUACUUUCUUUCGCAUGAAGGAAAGUUGAAAGAUGGCUUCUUGCUAUCACUUACAGAUGGGCCCGCGGCGCAUUAGCUAGUUGGUGAGGUAACGGCUCACCAAGGCGACGAUGCGUAGCCGACCUGAGAGGGUGAUCGGCCACACUGGGACUGAGACACGGCCCAGACUCCUACGGGAGGCAGCAGUAGGGAAUCUUCCGCAAUGGACGAAAGUCUGACGGAGCAACGCCGCGUGAACGAUGAAGGUCUUCGGAUCGUAAAGUUCUGUUGUUAGGGAAGAACAAGUACCGUGCGAAUAGAGCGGUACCUUGACGGUACCUAACGAGGAAGCCCCGGCUAACUACGUGCCAGCAGCCGCGGUAAUACGUAGGGGGCAAGCGUUGUCCGGAAUUAUUGGGCGUAAAGCGCGCGCAGGCGGUUCCUUAAGUCUGAUGUGAAAGCCCACGGCUCAACCGUGGAGGGUCAUUGGAAACUGGGGAACUUGAGGACAGAAGAGGAGAGUGGAAUUCCACGUGUAGC
rnacentral:rRNA from 1 species